rnacentral:rRNA from 1 species
GCUUAACGCGAAGAACCUUACCAAGGCUUGACAUAUACCGGAAAAGUUCAGAAAUGUUCUCCUCGCAAGGUCGGUAUACAGGUGGUGCAUGGUUGUCGUCAGCUCGUGUCGUGAGAUGUUGGGUUAAGUCCCGCAACGAGCGCAACCCUCGUUCUAUGUUGCCAGCACGUAAUGGUGGGAACUCAUAGGAGACUGCCGGGGUCAACUCGGAGGAAGGUGGGGAUGACGUCAAAUCAUCAUGCCCCUUAUGUCUUGGGCUUCACGCAUGCUACAAUGGCCGAUACAAAGGGCUGCAAUACCGUAAGGUGGANCGAAUCCCAAAAAGUCGGUACUCAGUUCGGAUUGAGGUCUGCAACUCGACCUCAUGAAGUCGGAGUCGCUAGUAAUCGCAGAUCAGCAACGCUGCGG